GCCAGACCAAUCUGAUUCUCCGCCAGACCAAGAUCGUGUCUACAAUCGUUGUGAUUUGUGGUGUGGACUAAGUCGGCUUUUGAGCAGGAUCUAUGGAUCGUUUGAGAAGCCGUCGGAGAAGGAGAAGGGGUAUGUGCUUCCCAGGGCUGAUGGUGAAAAUGGUGAAAACUGUCACGUAAGAAGACUUGGAAGAAGAGCUUCGUCUGCUGGCAUCUUACAGAGGCCAAACAGUGACCAAAACUGUGCGAGGCAUGAUGUAUUACCAAAAGGCUUUGGAGCUCCAGGCCUUCCUUGAUAUGGCAAAGGAUGAAGGUGCCUCACGAAACUUUGUUAUGAUUACUUCUAAAACCUGUACAAAUUCCUGAAUCUGCUUUCCCCAAAAAGAGAGGUUUUCUGUCUUACCUGCAAAAACUUUUCAACCAAAAACACAGUUAUUGUAAAAGGCCUCUGGUUGAGAGUGGUAAGAAUUCUCAGAGAUACAUAAAGUAUACAGCUGAAGAUCUUGAGAGAUUGCUGGAUGAGUUGUUUGAAGGAAAGUCUAUGAACGAACCACGACGGUAAAAUCAAACUACCAAAGCUCAUUUUGUAAGGUAAAUUUCUGUCAAGCUACUUUACUUCUGUCUCCGUUGUAUAUGGAGUGUCAACAAUUCGUGUUUGUUUGUUUGUAGUUUUCUUAGUGAUGAGUGUGUAAAUUACUUGGAAACGAGUUAUUUCUCUUUUGUAUAACGUUUACGUAUCAAGCUUUGAGCUAAAACCUGAUCUCUGUCAGAAAGUAUCAAGCUUUGAGCUUGAUGAUUCUCUAGUUCAUUGUGUUCUUCCAAGAUUUUAGGUAAUUUAAAUAAAUGGGUUCUCACUAGUUUCCCAUUCUUCUUCUUCUGAUCUGUGCUUAUAUAGUGGUUUGAUCUUUUGUCUUUAAGGUAGAAGAUGGAGCAGUUCAAAGAGAGGAAGUUCGCAGAGAAUGUGGUAAAGGUGUCACUUCUUCUAAAGCUCUUUGUGGUCAUAUGGCUUGUCACUUUGAGAGAGAGAAGAGGGUGUCAUGUUCUCAUUUUUUUCAGGUCAAGAAGAGUGAGUAAAGUCAUCAGUCAUCAGUCAUCAGUCAUCAGUCAUUAGUCACGGACUUGUGUAGUAAUCACUUGUGCAAUGCUUACAUACUAACUCUUGUAGUCUUGUAUUCUUGCAAACUUUUGUAGUCAUCAGUCACGGACUUGUAAAGCUUUGUGUCUAUAUAAAGUUGUGAACUCUUGUAGUCUUGUGAACUCUUGUAGUCUUGUCUAUAUAAACUUUGUAUACCAAACUUUUAUUCACAACACAACACUCUUCUUCAUUCA